CUCUGCCAGGUUAUUGUCUCUCUCCUACCUUGUAUCCCAUCUCUCUGCCAGGUUAUUGUCUCUCUCCUACCUUGUAUCCCAUCUCUCUGCCAGGUUAUUGUCCCCCUCCUACCUUGUAUCCCAUCUCUCUGCCAGGUUAUUGUCUCUCUCCUACCUUGUAUCCCAUCUCUCUGCCAGGUUAUUGUAUCUCUCCUACCUUGUAUCCCAUCUCUCUGCCAGGUUAUUGUCUCCCUCCUACCUUGUAUCCCAUCUCUCUGCCAGGUUAUUGUCUCUCUCCUACCUUGUAUCCCAUCUCUCUGCCAGGUUAUUGUCCCCCUCCUACCUUGUAUCCCAUCUCUCUGCCAGGUUAUUGUCUCUCUCCUACCUUGUAUCCCAUCUCUCUGCCAGGUUAUUGUCUCUCUCCUACCUUGUAUC